CUCCCGCACCUGUUUCCGACUCCGCUGCGGUCGGUCACACUUCGGGGUGCUUAAGACUUCCUGUGUUGUGAAGCUAGCUGCAAACCCAACUUCAUAGGAACGAUCCGGAUGUAGACUGGACAGUCCAAAGUUUCUCAAGAAAAGAGGUUACUCUUAUCUCUCAAUGAAUGCCCAUUUUGAUGUGACCCAGGGCGAGAAUGAAACCACGUGUGUACCCUUACACCAUCAGGGCCCUGCCAGCAGCUUGAUGUUGUUCCCCAAAUGAACUGAACAUGAAGAUCCAUGAUCUUAAAAGUGAGGUACAUACCCCAUCCCAGAUGACGGUGUACCGUUCCACCCCUAACUAUUAAAAUCACCUUUGGAGAGCUGCUGCCACUGUUGUCUACUUCUUCCCUGGUGUCAGCUAAAUUAUUGCAGAAGGGUGCGCUAUUGGCCACCUGGUGUCACAGACACACACAAACAUCAUUUACACAUCCAGAUAAAAACUACAUCGAAAGCUUGUUCUUGACAUACUAUGAGUACUACAGUGCGUUACCAUGAUGAGGUCAGCAUAUGCAGGCAACG